rnacentral:rRNA from 1 species
UACGGAGGAUGCGAGCGUUAUCCGGAUUUAUUGGGUUUAAAGGGUGCGUAGGCGGACGCUUAAGUCAGCGGUAAAAUUGCGGGGCUCAACCUCGUCGAGCCGUUGAAACUGGGUGCCUUGAGUGGGCGAGAAGUACGCGGAAUGCGUGGUGUAGCGGUGAAAUGCAUAGAUAUCACGCAGAACUCCGAUUGCGAAGGCAGCGUACCGGCGCCCAACUGACGCUGAAGCACGAAGCCGUGGGUAUCGAACAGG